GGGGGAAGGGUUGCUGAUUUGGUCAAGGGAAGGGGGAGAAGAGGCGGUUGUUGAAGGUGUGGCAGAGGAGGGAGAUGAUGAUGGUGAGGAGGAGGCACUCCUCCCAUUAGAUCAGCGCAAAACGAAGAGGGAAGAGAAGCAUAAAGCAGUGGCCGCUGCGGCGGCUGCAGAGGCUGCGACACGCAUGACCGGAAGCCACCUACUGCAGCAUGAUGGUCUGGUAAAUGUUGGGUCAAGGAAGAAUAGGAGCCGAGAGAACCGUGUAUAGCUCUCGGCACAAACCUUCCUCCGGAAUCAGCAGCGACGUCAAGAGAAACUUUU
rnacentral:lncRNA from 1 species